AAUCCCCACUUCCGACCCUCUCAGGCCUUUUCCGCUUCUCUUUUACCUCCCCAGGUGCGCCCGUCUGCGCCCCUCAAAGGAAUCCGGAGGGUCGCUCUGAUCCCGAAUCUCCCACAGGCGUGAACCUGCUGUGCUGUGUAUCUUUGCGGGGUGGCCUGCGCUGAGGCGUGCCGCGCGCCGUGAUUACUGGUGGUCACUAUGAUGUAGAUUGUCGAUUAGAAGAUCCUGAUGGUAAAGUGUUAUACAAAGAGAUGAAGAAACAGUAUGAUAGUUUUACCUUCACAGCCUCCAAAAAUGGGACAUACAAAUUUUGCUUCAGCAAUGAAUUUUCUACUUUCACACAUAAAACUGUAUAUUUUGAUUUUCAAGUUGGAGAAGACCCACCUUUGUUUCCUAGUGAGAACCGAGUCAGUGCUCUUACCCAGAUGGAAUCUGCCUGUGUUUCAAUUCACGAAGCUCUGAAGUCUGUCAUCGAUUAUCAGACUCAUUUCCGUUUAAGAGAAGCUCAAGGCCGAAGCCGAGCAGAGGAUCUAAAUACAAGAGUGGCCUAUUGGUCAGUAGGAGAAGCCCUCAUUCUUCUGGUGGUUAGCAUAGGGCAGGUAUUUCUUUUGAAAAGCUUUUUCUCAGAUAAAAGAACCACCACAACUCGUGUUGGAUCAUAACUACGUUUUGAGAAUUGAUGCACCAUUGCCACUGUAAUAUUGCUGUCCUCUAAUUAAUUUUAGGUACUGAAGAACUUAAUAUUGGCAACAUUUUUAAAUCCUUACUCAUACACUUGUUGGGAGGGAUGUACAAUGCAUAUUCC
rnacentral:sRNA from 1 species